GUCUAUGGUCAUGCCACCCUGAACGAGCCCGAUCCCGUUUGAUCUCAGAAGCUAAGCAGGAUCGGGCCUGGUUAGUACUUGGAUGGGAGACCACCUAGGAAGACCAGGUGCUGUAGGCG
rfam:Pteropus alecto contig75864, whole genome shotgun sequence.